rnacentral:rRNA from 1 species
UCCGGGCCAGAUAGCUCAGCUGUUUCCAGGGAGCAACCCUCCCUGAGGCGCUGGCACCAGCCGCUGGCCCCAAACCAAAACUCUAGUAACUUUUACCUUGGUGAGUUUUAAUGCAAGAAAUAAAGUCAAAACUUUCAACAACGGAUCUAUUGGCUCUGGCAUCGAUGAAGAACGCAGCGAAAUGCGAUAAGUAAUGUGAAUUGCAGAAUUCAGUGAAUCAUCGAAUCUUUGAACGCACAUUGCGCCCGCUGGUAUUCCGGCGGGCAUGCCCGUUCGAGCGUCAUUUUAAUUCCUUCCCAGAAAGGAGCUUCUGUUUUUACAGAGGUUUCUGACAGGGGUGUUGGCACCUGUCGCCGCCUAGGCGAUCAGAGCCCAAAUGUAGUGGCGGACGCGCAAGCGGCCCCUAGCGCAGUAGCAAAC